AUACGUAGGUGGCGAGCGUUAUCCGGAAUUACUGGGUGUAAAGGGUGCGCAGGCGGCCAUUUAAGUCAGCGGUUAAAUCGUGGGGCUCAACCCCAUUCUGCCGUUGAUACUGGGUGGCUUGAUUGCGGUCGAGGUUGGCGGAAUUCGUUGUGUAGCGGUGAAAUGCAUAGAUAUGACGAAGAACACCGAUUGCGUAGGCAGCUGACCAGACCGCAAAUGACGCUCAUGCACGAAAGUGCGGGGAUCGAACAGGAUUAGAUACCCUGGUAGUCCGCACAGUAAACGAUGAAUACUUGUUUUCGGCGAUAUAAUGUCGGAGGCAAAGCGAAAGCGAUAAGUAUUCCACCUGGGGAGUACGCCGGCAACGGUGAAACUCAAAGGAAUUGGCGGGG
rnacentral:rRNA from 1 species